GAAGCGGUGGCUCGGUGGUUAAGACGUUGGAUUUCUGAUCAGAAGGUCGUGGCUUCAAACCCCAGCAGUGACA